AUUUAGCUGACCAGUCCCCCAAAUAGGACAAAACGCGUGUCCUGGAU
rnacentral:hammerhead_ribozyme from 1 species